rnacentral:rRNA from 1 species
GACGAACGCUGGCGGCGUGCUUAACACAUGCAAGUCGAGCGGUAAGGCUCCUUCGGGAGUACACGAGCGGCGAACGGGUGAGUAACACGUGAGCAAUCUGCCCUUCACUUCGGGAUAACUCCGGGAAACCGGAGCUAAUACCGAAUACGACCACUUCAGGCAUCUGAUGGUGGUGGAAAGUUCCGGCGGUGAAGGAUGAGCUCGCGGCCUAUCAGCUUGUUGGUGGGGUAACGGCCCACCAAGGCAACGACGGGUAGCCGGCCUGGGAGGGUGACCGGCCACACUGGGACUGAGCCACGGCCCAGACUCCUACGGGAGGCAGCAGUGGGGAAUAUUGGACAAUGGGCGAAAGCCUGAUCCAGCAACGCCGCGUGAGGGAUGACUGCCUUCGGGUUGUAAACCUCUUUCAGCAGGGACGAAGCGCAAGUGACGGUACCUGCAGAAGAAGCACCGGCCAACUACGUGCCAGCCGCCGCAGUAACAC